rnacentral:rRNA from 1 species
GAUGAACGCUGGCGGUAUGCUUAAUACAUGCAAGUCGUACGAAGGCUUUUAGCCUUAGUGGCGGACGGGUGAGUAACACGUGAGAAUCUGCCCUUAGGAGGAGGAUAACAGCUGGAAACGGUUGCUAAUACUCCAUAUGCCGAGAGGUGAAAGGAUUUAUCUACCUAAGGAGGAGCUCGCGUCUGAUUAGCUAGUUGGUAAGGUAAUGGCUUACCAAGGCGACGAUCAGUAGCUGGUUUGAGAGGAUGAUCAGCCACACUGGGACUGAGACACGGCCCAGACUCCUACGGGAGGCAGCAGUAGGGAAUUUUCCGCAAUGGGCGAAAGCCUGACGGAGCAAUACCGCGUGAGGGAUGACGGCCUGUGGGUUGUAAACCUCUUUUCUCAAGGAAGAAGUUCUGACGGUACUUGAGGAAUAAGCAUCGGCUAACUCUGUG